CGGGGUGUGGCGCAGUUGGCUAGCGCGCAGCGUUCGGGACGCUGAGGCCGGAAGUUCAAGUCUUCUCACCUCGACCA
rnacentral:tRNA from 1 species